rfam:Oryza glaberrima chromosome 8 Oglab08_0035_1, whole genome shotgun sequence.
AAUAAGUUCAUUUGUGGGACUCUGUGUCCAAUAUUUGACUGGCCAUCUUAUUUUUUUUAGAUUAGUAUUUUUGUUGUUAUUAGAUGAUAAAACAUGAAUAGUACUUUAUGCGUGACUUAUUUUUUUAAUUUUUUUCAUAAAUUUUGUAAAUAAGAUGAACGGUCAAACGUUGGACACAGAAAGCCACAACUAAACUUAUU